rnacentral:lncRNA from 1 species
UUUCUUUUAGAAGACAUUGAAUUUUACAUUGAACUGCAUAAUCUCUUAAUUUGCUAUCCUUUUGCCCUUAGGAAAGUGAUGCAAAAAAUUGAUGCAUUUGAUCCUGUGAGAGGUUUUCAGCUUUCAGGGUUCUGUGAAGGAAGACUACAGUGCUGAGGUGGCAAUACUUCUACAGGCUCUGUGGUGGAGUGAAUGGAGAAGAAAACAAUCAAAUUUCCAAGGAAGAUAUCUUUGGAAAACUCACUCUAUUGGCAAGAAUAUACUGUCUGAUCUGGGUUCUUUCGUUGUGGUGCUAGAAGCUGUGGCAGAACACACCUUUAAUUUGCCCUUGCACCUUGCUCUGCUCAGUCCCUUGUCACACAGAGUUGUGGAAACCAGCAGCUUCCAUGGUA